rnacentral:snRNA from 10 species
ACACUUACCGGGCAGGGGAGAUGCCAUGAUCCUGAAGGCUUAUCCAUGGCACUCUGGGCGUGCCGACCUCCUGAGAUUUCCCCUGGGAAAUUCAACUGCAUAAUUUGUGGUCAUGGGGACCUGCACUUGCGCUCUCUCCAA